UGGAAGUACAAAAUGCUUUUGCUUUUCACACAGUACAAGAUAUUCCGUUGAAAAGCGACAUUGUAGCAAAGACUAAAGGACUUUGACUGUACCCAGCAUAAUAGUCUGGAUACACAUUUUUACAAACUGUGCUUACGCCGUUUCAAAACGCGGCGCCUGCUACAGCGACGACAAACAGGGAUACGUGAGACGUUUUGGCAAGGCUGGAGGACUUGAAGAAGCGCAAGGCUGCUGCGCAGAAGGGGACGCUCACCGAGAGCUUCUAGAGGUAAUGAGGAGCUACCUGAUGAUUCUGUUGGAUUCAUCUUGGUCUUGGUCUUGGAAAUCUCCAAGUUCACCAUGUCCGGC